CCUACGGGUGGCAGCAGUGAGGAAUAUUGGUCAAUGGGCGCGCGCCUGAACCAGCCAAGUCGCGUGAGGGAGGACGGCCCUACGGGUUGUAAACCUCUUUUGCCGGGGAGCAACGUGCGCCACGUGUGGCGUCCCUGAGAGUACCCGGAGACAACGCAUCGGCUAACUCCUUUCCAGCAGCCUCGUUAAUCCGGAGGAUGCGAGCUUUAUCCGGAUUUCGUGGGUUUAAAGGGUGCGUAGCCGUAUCGUUAAGUCAUUGGUAAAAUUGAGGGGCUCAACCCCUUCCCGCCAUUGAAACUGGCGUUCUUGAGUGGAAGAGAAGUAUGCGGAAUGCGUGGUGUAGCGGUGAAAUGCAUAGAUAUCACGCAGAACCCCGAUUGCGAAGGCAGCAUGUCGGCUUCCGACUGACGCUGAAGCACGAAAGCGUGGGGAUCGAACAGGAUUAGAUACCCUAGUAGUC
rnacentral:rRNA from 1 species